UACGAAGGACCCGAGCGUUAUCCGGAUUUAUUGGGUUUAAAGGGUGCGUAGGCGGACUUAUAAGUCAGUGGUGAAAUCCCUCAGCUUAACUGAGGAACUGCCAUUGAAACUAUUUGUCUUGAGUACAUUUGAGGCGGGCGGAAUGUGUCAUGUAGAGGUGAAAUUCUUAGAUAUGACACAGAACACCAAUUGCGAAGGCAGCUCGCUAAACUGUAACUGACGCUGAGGCACGAAAGCGUGGGGAGCAAACAGG
rnacentral:rRNA from 1 species